GAUGAACGCUGGCGGCGUGCCUAAUACAUGCAAGUCGAGCGAACAGACGAGGAGCUUGCUCCUCUGACGUUAGCGGCGGACGGGUGAGUAACACGUGGAUAACCUACCUAUAAGACUGGGAUAACUUCGGGAAACCGGAGCUAAUACCGGAUAAUAUAUUGAACCGCAUGGUUCAAUAGUGAAAGACGGUUUUGCUGUCACUUAUAGAUGGAUCCGCGCCGCAUUAGCUAGUUGGUAAGGUAACGGCUUACCAAGGCAACGAUGCGUAGCCGACCUGAGAGGAUGAUCGGCCACACUUGAACUGAGACACGGUCCAGACUCCUACGGGAGGCAGCAGUAGGGAAUCUUCCGCAAUGGGCGAAAGCCUGACGGAGCAACGCCGCGUGAGUGAUGAAGGUCUUCGGAUCGUAAAACACUGUUAUUAGGGAAGAACAAAUGUGUAAGUAACGAUGCACGUCUUGACGGAACCUAAGCAGAAAGCCACGGCUAACUACGU
rnacentral:rRNA from 1 species